rfam:Eimeria necatrix Houghton genomic scaffold, Enh_scaff1740
AAAUAUUUAUAAGAUAAAAAAGAAUACCUUGAUACUUAAAGGCGAAGAAAGACGUUUUAAAUUACGAAAUACUUUAAUUAGCUGUACGCAAUAAAUUAAAGAUCUCUGAAUAGGAGGAAUAUACCUUAUAAUUUAAUAAAAAAAANNNNNNNNNNNNNNNNNNNNNNNNNNNNNNNNNNNNNNNNNNNNNNNNNNNNNNNNNNNNNNNNNNNNNNNNNNNNNNNNNNNNNNNNNNNNNNNNNNNNAAAAAAAAGAAAACUUAGAGAACUGAACCAUCUUAGUAUCUAAAGGAAAAAAAAUAACAAAAAUUCCCUAAGUAGUGGCGAGCGAAAUGGGAUAAAUAUAUUUUUUUAAUAUAUUUAUUUGAAAAUAAAUAAGUAAAUUAGAUAAUAAUUCUGAUUGAAGAAGCAAGAACCUCCUUGCAAAAUAAAAUACUUUAAAGUAAUCAAUAGUGAACUAGUACCGUAAGGGAAAGGUGAAAAGAUCCCCGGAAGGGAAGUGAAAAGAACAUGAAAUUUUUUAUCUUACAAUCUAUAGAAGGAUUAAAGAAUCUAACUAUAUGCCUGUUGAAGAAGGAGCUGACAAGUCUUAAUUAUUUUAAGCAUUUGGUUAAUUUUAUUUAAUUGAAGCCCAGAGUUAACGCGAGUUAUUUAUAUUAUUAUAAUAACAAUUGCUUAUAAUUAAGAACCCGAACCCGGAUGAAUUAAUCUUGUCCAGAAUGAAAUAUAGAUAAGUCUAUAUAGAGGUUCGAACUGGUUGAUAUUGCAAAAUCAUCAGAAGAGAUGAGAUUAGCGGUGAAAUGCUUAUCGAAUUCGGAGCUAGCUGGUUCUCCUCGAAAUGCGUUGAGGCGCAGCUAUUACUUAAUAUAUAAUUAAGGUGGUAAAGCACUAUAUCUAAUAUUUAUUAGAUAAAUAUAAUAAAAAUUAGAUAUAAACUAAUAAUACCUAUUAUAUUAAAUAGUAAUAAGUGAGACUAUUGGGGAAAAUCUCAAUAGUCUAAAAGGAAACAACCUACAUCAUAAGUUAAGGUUUUUAAAAAAGUAUUAAAAAUAAAAAGAAAUUUAAUUUUAUUUAUAUUUAGGAGGUUAGCUUAGAAGCAGCUAUCCUUUAAAGAGUGCGUAAUAGCUCGCUAAAUUAGAAAUUAUGUACUGAAAAUGGGAAAAAAAAAACUUUACCGAAACUAUGAGAUUUAUAUUUAAAUCGAUAGAGGAGCGUUCUAUAUUUAAGAAGUAAAAAUGUAAAUUUUUAUGGAAAAAAUAGAAGUGAAAAUGUCAGCUUAAGUAGCAUAAAUAUUAGUAAAAAUCUAAUACUCCGAAAGCUUAAAAGUUUUCUACGAAAGGAUAUACCACGUAGAUAAAGUCGGGGCCUAAAAUUAGAUUAAAUAUGUAAUUGAUGGGUAAUAAGGUUAAAUUUCCUUUACUGUAAAUAUAUAUAACAAAUAGUGACCUAUAAUUUUUAUUAUAUUUUUAUAAUAUAGUUUUUAAUAUAUUAAAAAUAUAUAGCUAGAAAAAUGUAUAUGUUAAAAUAUAUUAUCACCCGUACUAAAACUGACACAAGUAAGCAAGUAUAAAUAUACUAAGGAGUACGAAAUAACUUUUUCUAAGGAACUCGGCAAAAUAAUCCUGUAACUUCGGAAAAAAGGAUGUCCAAAGGACUGCAAUAAAGAGAUCCAAGCGACUGUUUAUCAAAAACACAAGUCUCCGCUAAGUGUAAUUACAAUGUAAGGGGGCUGACACCUGCCCAGUGCUGGUAAGUUAAAAAAGAUAUUUAUAAUUAAAAUAUUUUUAUAAGCUCCAGUAAACGGCGGCUGUAACUAUAACGGUCCAAAGGUAGCGAAAUUCCUUGUCGGGUAAGUUCCGACCUGCACGAAAGGUGUAACGACUUGGAUGCUGUCUUGGAAAAAGAUUCGGCGAAAUAGAAAUGUCUGUGAAGAUACGGACUAUUUACACCUGGACAGAAAGACCCUAUGAAGCUUUACUAUAUUUUGAAAUUAAAAAUAAAAUAUAUUUGUGUAGAAUAAGUGGGAAAUAAUUAUUUUGUUUAUCUUGAAAUACCACUCUUAUUUAUUUUAUUUUUUUAUUAUAAUAUUGUUAACCAAUUAUAAAAAAAUUUUAAAAAGGUAGUUUGACUGGGGCGGUAGCCUCCUAAAAGGCAACGGAGGUGUACAAAGGUCUUUUUUUAAUUUAAAUAUUUAUUUUAAAAUUAAAUCUAUAAAGGGAUAAAAAGGCUUGAUUGUAAGAGUUACUACUCGAGCAAGGACGAAAGUCGGUCUUAAUGAUCCGAUAGUUCUUUGUGGAAAGGCUGUCGCUUAACGAAUAAAAGUUACUCUAGGGAUAACAGGCUGAUCUCCCCCGAAAGUUCCUAUUGACGGGGAGGGUUGGCACCUCGAUGUCGGCUCGUCGCAUCCUGAGGCUGAAGUAGGUCUCAAGGGUUGGUCUGUUCGCCCAUUAAAGCGGCACGUGAGCUGGGUUCAGAACGUCGUGAGACAGUUCGGUCCAUAUCCGGUGUAUACAUAAGAACAUUGAAGAGUUUUUCUUUUAGUACGAGAGGACCAAAGAGAUUAAACCUAUGGUGUAUUAGUUAUUUUACUAAAAAUAAUCGCUAAGUAGCCAAGUUUAAAUAAAUAUUAUUCACUGAAAACAUAUAAGUGAUAAAAAUACUUUAAGAUAAAUGUUCUUAUCUAAAUAAAUAGAAUAAGAAAACAAAAAGAUGAUUUGAUAAAAAGAAAAAGUGUAUACAAUUAGUAAUAAUUUUAGCAUUUUUUAACUAAAAGUUCGAAAAAAAUAUAUUU